rnacentral:tRNA from 1 species
AAAAAUUUAGUUAAACCAUAACAUCAGCUUGUCGUGCUGAAAUUAUUACUAAGUAAUAAUUUUUA